AAGAUUGAUGUCAGUGGUCAUGAAUAACUUCUUGCAGACCGUAAUACAAAAGAAAUUUCAGGACUGAAGAGUGGUAGGGUUUGGGAUUUUUGUUGCACCUGCCUGUGUCCUACUUUGAAUUCUUUCUUUGCCCUUUAUUGCCACCAAGGUGAUCCCAUCCAAAGGAAGUCAACCAGAGCAGAAAAGGUCAAGAUGUUCCCGUGGAGCACAUAUGUCUCAGGCGGAUAAACAGGAGAACCGCAAGUCUGCCUCAUGGCCUUGUGAGCUGGCCACAUUGACAUGCAGAACAAGGAAUUGGGGGCUGGGCCCCGGGGGCCAGGGAAGGCCUGCUACCAGCACCCAGCCACAUCCUUCUUAUCUACAGUUACUGCCCAGUUAAUCCAGAUCAGUGGACUAAUCCAUGGAUUUGGUUGUACCUAUCAUAAUUUAAUCAUUCCAUCUCUGAAAAUUAUUGCAUUGUCUCACACAUUAAUUUUUAAGGGACACCUCAUAUCUAAACCAUAACAUCAUGCUUUGACAAAUCUUUCCCCAGACUUCUCUCCUAGCAUAUGGCAACCAUCAUUCUCCAACUUCUGAUAUCAACUUUUUAAAUUCCACAUAGCAGUGAUAUCAUGUGAUUCUUGUAUUACUGUGCUUGGCUUGUUUCAGUUAACAUAAUGAUUUCUAGUCCCAUCCAUGUAAUCACAGAUGACAAGAUUUCAUUCUUUUUAUGGCUGAAUAGUAUUUUAUUGUGUAUAUCUACUACGUAUUCUUCAUCCAUUCAUCACUUGGUAGACACAUGGAUUAUUUGAAUUUCUUAGCUAUUUUGAAUAGUACUGCAAUAAACAUGGGAGUGCAGAUGUCCACUUAACAAACUAAUUUCAUUUCAUUUGGAUAUAAAGCCAGUAUCUGGAUUGCUAGAUUACAUGGUAUUUCUAGUUUAAAUUUUUCAGGAACCUCCAUACUUUUUUCACUAAUGGUUGUACUAAUUUACAUUCCCACAAACAGUGUGCAACUGUUCCCUUUUUCACACAUCCUCACCAAUAUUUGUAAAUUCUAAUGAUCUGAUUGUUCUGUAUUUUUGUUCUUAAUUACCCAUAUUGCCCAUUGUAAUAAAAGAAUUAACUCUAAGUCUACAA